UUGUGACGUCGAUUUGAGACAUUUUCACCCUGACACCCGUCGCCAGUCGACGACGGUCACUGGGCUGCGUUUCUCUUUUCAUUUUCAUUCGUUCGUUCGUUCGUUCGCUCCUUUGCUUGCACGCUUUCAUUUCUGUUUCGUUCGUUAUUACGAACGAAUCGAAGAAUCAACGAUUCGAUUCAUACUAAACAACAACAACGGCAACGUAAUUAUACCGCUUGUACAAAGGACGGAAUCUGGGGUUAAAAAAAAAAAAAAAAACAAAAAAAGGAAAAAAAAGGAAAAUCAUCAACGUGCAGUUUCUUUCGGCCUCCCUCCCACCCCCCCUACCCUUGUGUGAUCAUCAUGCUUGAUCCAGUUCUGCUUGGUCAUCAUCCUCGUCGGUGUUCCAGGAUGCGUAAAACUUUGUGGCUGAAUGAGAUCCGGUCGAGAAGCUGAUAACGUAUCGUGUACACGCACACUCCAUUCCGUGGACCGCCCCAACUCAACUUUUUUGAAAACGUGCGGCGAAGCAGCUGUCGUUAUAGUCGAAGGCUGGAGCAGCCUGCGCUGCAUGGACCUACUACAAGAAUAUAAUUAGUUUACCAAGAACGAACGGACGACUGGGCCCUGGUUAUAGUUCCGCGUGCCUGAGUGUGCGUGUGAGCCACUUGAGUCCCCCCCAAAGGCGAAGGAACGGUCCUCGGCUUACACCGGGCAAGCGAGUCGAGAGCCAGGGUCGUUUCUUUUCUAUCAGAAGCUUGAACAGCCACGGACUUUGUCUCGGAAACACGUGCGUGUCCCUCCGUAGCGAAAACGAAAUUCAGGAGCAGAAAGAAGACCUUCGACGAUGCAAGAAUAUCCAGCGGCUCUCAUCGGUCGUCUUCAUCGUUUCGACGGCGAUAUUCUCUCCUGAAUAUCUGUACGACGUGCGCAAGUGAAUAACUGCAAAGUGCCCAAAGUCCCUUAUCAUUCUCUAGCCCGGUGUUAAAUGUUCGAUACCUACUGGACGGAGAACUGAUAAGGGCCCGCGGGAUACGAACUCAUCGUGGGAA